rnacentral:rRNA from 1 species
CAAAAGUGAAAGACGGUCUUGCUGUCACUUAUAGAUGGAUCCGCGCUGCAUUAGCUAGUUGGUAAGGUAACGGCUUACCAAGGCAACGAUGCAUAGCCGACCUGAGAGGGUGAUCGGCCACACUGGAACUGAGACACGGUCCAGACUCCUACGGGAGGCAGCAGUAGGGAAUCUUCCGCAAUGGGCGAAAGCCUGACGGAGCAACGCCGCGUGAGUGAUGAAGGUCUUCGGAUCGUAAAACUCUGUUAUUAGGGAAGAACAUAUGUGUAAGUAACUGUGCACAUCUUGACGGUACCUAAUCAGAAAGCCACGGCUAACUACGUGCCAGCAGCCGCGGUAAUACGUAGGUGGCAAGCGUUAUCCGGAAUUAUUGGGCGUAAAGCGCGCGUAGGCGGUUUUUUAAGUCUGAUGUGAAAGCCCACGGCUCAACCGUGGAGGGUCAUUGGAAACUGGAAAACUUGAGUGCAGAAGAGGAAAGUGGAAUUCCAUGUGUAGCGGUGAAAUGCGCAGAGAUAUGGAGGAACACCAGUGGCGAAGGCGACUUUCUGGUCUGUAACUGACGCUGAUGUGCGAAAGCGUGGGGAUCAAACAGGAUUAGAUACCCUGGUAGUCCACGCCGUAAACGAUGAGUGCUAAGUGUUAGGGGGUUUCCGCCCCUUAGUGCUGCAGCUAAACGCAUUAAGCACUCCGCCUGGGGAGUACGACCGCAAGGUUGAAACUCAAAGGAAUUGACGGGGACCCGCACAAGCGGUGGAGCAUGUGGUUUAAUUCGAAGCAACGCGAAGAACCUUACCAAAUCUUGACAUCCUUUGACAACUCUAGAGAUAGAGCCUUCCCCUUCGGGGGACAAAGUGACAGGUGGUGCAUGGUUGUCGUCAGCUCGUGUCGUGAGAUGUUGGGUUAAGUCCCGCAACGAGCGCAACCCUUAAGCUUAGUUGCCAUCAUUAAGUUGGGCACUCUAAGUUGACUGCCGGUGACAAACCGGAGGAAGGUGGGGAUGACGUCAAAUCAUCAUGCCCCUUAUGAUUUGGGCUACACACGUGCUACAAUGGACAAUACAAAGGGCAGCGAAACCGCGAGGUCAAGCAAAUCCCAUAAAGUUGUUCUCAGUUCGGAUUGUAGUCUGCAACUCGACUACAUGAAGCUGGAAUCGCUAGUAAUCGUAGAUCAGCAUGCUACGGUGAAUACGUUCCCGGGUCUUGUACACACCGCCCGUCACACCACGAGAGUUUGUAACACCCGAAGCCGGUGGAGUAACCUUUUAGGAGCUAGCCGUCGAAGGUGGGACAAAUGAUUGGGGUGAAGUCGUAACAAGGUAGCCGUAUCGGAAGGUGCGGCUGGAUCACCUCCUUUCU